rnacentral:rRNA from 1 species
CGUGUAGGCGGCCGAUUAAGUCUGGAGUGAAAGUCCUGCUUUCAAGGUGGGAAUUGCUUUGGAAACUGGUUGGCUUGAGUGCGGAAGAGGUAAGUGGAAUUCCCAGUGUAGCGGUGAAAUGCGUAGAGAUUGGGAGGAACACCAGUGGCGAAGGCGACUUACUGGGCCGUAACUGACGCUGAGGCGCGAAAGCGUGGGGAGCGAACAG